rnacentral:rRNA from 1 species
UGGGGAAUUUUCCGCAAUGGGCGAAAGCCUGACGGAGCGAUGCCGCGUGGAGGUGGAAGGCCUACGGGUCGUCAACUUCUUUUCUCGGAGAAGAAACAAUGACGGUAUCUGAGGAAUAAGCAUCGGCUAACUCUGUGCAAG